UACGUAGGGUGCGAGCGUUGUCCGGAAUUAUUGGGCGUAAAGGGCUCGUAGGCGGUCUGUCGCGUCGGUAGUGAAAACUCAGGGCUUAACCCUGAGCCUGCUUCCGAUACGGGCAGACUAGAGGUAUGCAGGGGGAGAAUGGAAUUCCUGGUGUAGCGGUGAAAUUCGUAGAUAUUCGGAAGAACACCAGUGGCGAAGGCGGCUCACUGGUCCGGUACUGACGCUGAGGUGCGAAAGCGUGGGGGAGCAAACAGG
rnacentral:rRNA from 1 species